AACGACUCUCGGCAACGGAUAUCUCGGCUCUCGCAUCGAUGAAGAACGUAGCGAAAUGCGAUACUUGGUGUGAAUUGCAGAAUCCCGUGAACCAUCGAGUCUUUGAACGCAAGUUGCGCCCAAAGCCAUUAGGCUGAGGGCACGUCUGCCUGGGCGUUACGCA
rnacentral:rRNA from 8 species